AAUGAACGCUGGCGGCGUGCUUAACACAUGCAAGUCGCACGAGAACACUUCAGCUUCCUGAAGUAAGUAAAGUGGCGCACGGGUGAGUAACGCGUGGGUAAUCUACCCUUGAAUUGGGGAUAACCCGCCGAAAGGUGGGCUAAUACCGAAUGACAUCUUGAAAACUUAUGUUUUCAGGAUCAAAGGUGGCCUCUACAUGUAAGCUACUGUUUGGGGAUGAGCCCGCGUACCAUUAGCUUGUUGGUAGGGUAAUGGCCUACCAAGGCUACGAUGGUUAGCUGGUCUGAGAGGAUGAUCAGCCACACUGGAACUGUCACACGGUCCAGACUCCUACGGGAGGCAGCAGUGAGGAAUUUUGCGCAAUGGGGGAAACCCUGACGCAGCAACGCCGCGUGAGUGAUGAAGGCUUUCGGGUCGUAAAGCUCUGUCAAGUGGGAAGAAAUCAUAUGGUGUUAAUACUGCCAUAUGUUGACGGUACCACUGAAGGAAGCACCGGCUAACUCCGUGCCAGCAGCCGCGGUAAUACGGGGGGUGCGAGCGUUAUUCGGAAUUACUGGGCGUAAAGAGCGCGUAGGCGGUCUUUUAAGUCAGGUGUGAAAGCCCGGGGCUCAACCCCGGAAGUGCACUUGAAACUAAGA
rnacentral:rRNA from 1 species